rnacentral:rRNA from 1 species
AGGAUUAACGCUGGCGGCGUGCCUAACACAUGCAAGUCGAACGAGGUAGCAAUACCUAGUGGCAGACGGGUGAGUAACGCGUGGUCAACCUACCGUUGAGUGGGGGAUAACUAGCCGAAAGGUUAGCUAAUACCGCAUACGAGUCUCGGGGGCAUCCUUGGGCCUUAAAAGGAGCAAUCCGCUCGAUGACGGGACCGCGUCCCAUUAGCUAGAUGGUGGGGUAACGGCCUACCAUGGCACCGAUGGGUAGCUGGUUUGAGAGAGCGACCAGCCACACUGGGACUGAGAAACGGCCCAGACUCCUACGGGAGGCAGCAGUGAGGAAUUUUCCGCAAUGGGCGAAAGCCUGACGGAGCGACGCCGCGUGUGGGAAGAAGGCCUUCGGGUCGUAAACCACUGUCGAAGGGGACGAUAAUGACGGUACCCUUGGAGGAAGCCCCGGCUAACCUACGUGCCAGCAGCCGC